UACGUAGGGUGCGAGCGUUGUCCGGAAUUAUUGGGCGUAAAGGGCUCGUAGGCGGUUUGUCGCGUCGGGAGUGAAAUCCACUGGCUUAACUGGUGGCUCGCUUUCGAUACGGGCAGACUGGAGGUAUGCAGGGGAGAACGGAAUUCCUGGUGUAGCGGUGAAAUGCGCAGAUAUCAGGAGGAACACCGGUGGCGAAGGCGGCAUCCUGGACCAAUACUGACGCUGAGGAGCGAAAGCCAGGGGAGCAAACAGG
rnacentral:rRNA from 1 species